rnacentral:rRNA from 1 species
UACGGGAGGCAGCAGUGGGGAAUUUUCCGCAAUGGGCGAAAGCCUGACGGAGCAAUACCGCGUGAGGGAAGACUGCCUAUGGGUUGUAAACCUCUUUUUUCAGGGAGGAAUAAAAUGACGUGUACCUGAAGAAUAAGCAUCGGCUAACUCCGUGCCAGCAGCCGCGGUAAGACGGAGGAUGCAAGUGUUAUCCGGAAUCACUGGGCGUAAAGCGUCUGUAGGUGGCUUAAUAAGUCAACUGUUAAAUCUUGAGGCUCAACUUCAAAAUCGCAGUCGAAACUAUUAGACUAGAGUAUAGUAGAGGUAAAGGGAAUUUCCAGUGGAGCGGUGAAAUGCGAUAUUGGAAAGAACACCGAUGGCGAAAGCACUUUACUGGGCUAUUACUAACACUCAGAGACGAAAGCUAGGGUAGCAAAUGGGAUUAGAUACCCCAGUAGUCCUAGCCGUAAACUAUGGAU